rnacentral:rRNA from 1 species
AAAUUGAAGAGUUUGAUCAUGGCUCAGAUUGAACGCUGGCGGCAGGCCUAACACAUGCAAGUCGAACGGUAACAGGAAGCAGCUUGCUGCUUCGCUGACGAGUGGCGGACGGGUGAGUAAUGUCUGGGAAACUGCCUGAUGGAGGGGGAUAACUACUGGAAACGGUAGCUAAUACCGCAUAACGUCGCAGGACCAAAGAGGGGGACCUUCGGGCCUCUUGCCAUCAGAUGUGCCCAGAUGGGAUUAGCUUGUUGGUGAGGUAACGGCUCACCAAGGCGACGAUCCCUAGCUGGUCUGAGAGGAUGACCAGCCACACUGGAACUGAGACACGGUCCAGACUCCUACGGGAGGCAGCAGUGGGGAAUAUUGCACAAUGGGCGCAAGCCUGAUGCAGCCAUGCCGCGUGUAUGAAGAAGGCCUUCGGGUUGUAAAGUACUUUCAGCGGGGAGGAAGGGGAUAAGGCUAAUAACCUUGUUCAUUGACGUUACCCGCAGAAGAAGCACCGGCUAACUCCGUGCCAGCAGCCGCGGUAAUACGGAGGGUGCAAGCGUUAAUCGGAAUUACUGGGCGUAAAGCGCACGCAGGCGGUCUGUCAAGUCGGAUGUGAAAUCCCCGGGCUCAACCUGGGAACUGCAUUCGAAACUGGCAGGCUUGAGUCUUGUAGAGGGGGGUAGAAUUCCAGGUGUAGCGGUGAAAUGCGUAGAGAUCUGGAGGAAUACCGGUGGCGAAGGCGGCCCCCUGGACAAAGACUGACGCUCAGGUGCGAAAGCGUGGGGAGCAAACAGGAUUAGAUACCCUGGUAGUCCACGCCGUAAACGAUGUCUACUUGGAGGUUGUGCCCUUGAGGCGUGGCUUCCGGAGCUAACGCGUUAAGUAGACCGCCUGGGGAGUACGGCCGCAAGGUUAAAACUCAAAUGAAUUGACGGGGGCCCGCACAAGCGGUGGAGCAUGUGGUUUAAUUCGAUGCAACGCGAAGAACCUUACCUGGUCUUGACAUCCACAGAACUUUCCAGAGAUGGAUUGGUGCCUUCGGGAACUGUGAGACAGGUGCUGCAUGGCUGUCGUCAGCUCGUGUUGUGAAAUGUUGGGUUAAGUCCCGCAACGAGCGCAACCCUUAUCCUUUGUUGCCAGCGGUCCGGCCGGGAACUCAAAGGAGACUGCCAGUGAUAAACUGGAGGAAGGUGGGGAUGACGUCAAGUCAUCAUGGCCCUUACGACCAGGGCUACACACGUGCUACAAUGGCGCAUACAAAGAGAAGCGACCUCGCGAGAGCAAGCGGACCUCAUAAAGUGCGUCGUAGUCCGGACUGGAGUCUGCAACUCGACUCCAUGAAGUCGGAAUCGCUAGUAAUCGUGGAUCAGAAUGCCACGGUGAAUACGUUCCCGGGCCUUGUACACACCGCCCGUCACACCAUGGGAGUGGGUUGCAAAAGAAGUAGGUAGCUUAACCUUCGGGAGGGCGCUUACCACUUUGUGAUUCAUGACUGGGGUGAAGUCGUAACAAGGUAACCGUAGGGGAACCUGCGGUUGGAUCACCUCCUUA